UACAGAGGGGGCAAGCGUUAUUCGGAAUUAUUGGGCGUAAAGGGCGCGUAGGCGGCCUUGCAAGUGACGGGUGAAAUCCCUCGGCUUAACCGAGGAACUGCCUGUCAGACUGCAUGGCUUGAGACCGGGAGAGGUGAGUGGAAUUCCCAGUGUAGCGGUGAAAUGCGUAGAUAUUGGGAGGAACACCAGUGGCGAAGGCGGCUCACUGGACCGGUACUGACGCUGAUGCGCGAAAGCGUGGGGAGCAAACAGG
rnacentral:rRNA from 1 species